AAAAACGCCCCGACCUACUUGAUGCCACGAGUACCUACAACCUACAUCACGGCCUACCUACGGCCUCGUGAUGACCACGCUGCGAGUUCAAGUCAAGGGCAAACUCGGCAGAGGUCGCCAA